GCCUGGUCUCAGGCCUAUCCCAAGAUCGGAAAUAAUGAGCUCUGAGCUCGUUUCGUAGGGUAACGUCUGGCUGUCUCGUCAGAGACUGCAGCAGAUCAAACAGUGAAACACACACACACACACAUGAGUAAAGACAAGUGCUUUAAUUAAUAAAUAUGAAAAGGGAGAAAGAGUUGGCUAAGUGAGAUAGUUAUACAUAAAAUAGUUUUAAAUUCUGCACCAUCUUCACCACCACCACCACUACUACUACUACUAUUACUACUACUACUACUGCUCCUACUACUACUACUGCUACAAUCACAACCACUUCUACUAUUACAAUGGUGAUGAAAAAAUUGUUAUCAUUACAAUAGCUAUAUUUUGAAAGUUACAUAGAAAGGUUAUAUAUAUUAAUAAUUGUGUAUAUAUAUGUAAUUACAUAUAUAAUUGCCUAUCAUCUAAUGGUAAUUAUAUAAAGAUUUUUAUUCCACAUUAGCUGGUGCUUAGAGAGAGAGAGAGAGAGAGAGAGAGAGAGAGAGAGAGAGAGAGAGAGAGAGAGAGAGAGAGAGAGAGAGAGAGAGAGAGAGAGAGAGAGAGAGAGAGAGAGAGAGAGAGAGAGA